UCCGGUUUAUCACCGGCGGUCUCCCUAGAGUGCCCAACUAAAUGAUGGCAACUAGGAACAGGGGUUGCGCUCGUUGCCGGACUUAACCGAACACCUCACAGCACGAGCUGACGACAGCCAUGCAGCACCUGUCACCGAGCUCCCUCUUGCGAGGGCACUCCGACGUUUCCGCCAGAUUCUCGGGAUGUCAAGCCUGGGUAAGGUUCUUCGCGUUGCAUCGAAUUAAACCACAUGCUCCACCGCUUGUGCGGGCCCCCGUCAAUUCCUUUGAGUUUCAACCUUGCGGCCGUACUUCCCAGGCGGAGUGCUUAAUGCGUUAGCUUAGCCACCGAAGAGGUAAACAUCUCCGACAGCGAGCACUCAUCGUUUACAGCGUGGACUAC
rnacentral:misc_RNA from 1 species